UACGAAGGGGGCUAGCGUUGUUCGGAAUCACUGGGCGUAAAGCGCACGUAGGCGGAUCUUUAAGUCAGGGGUGAAAUCCCGAGGCUCAACCUCGGAACUGCCUUUGAUACUGGGGAUCUCGAGUCCGGGAGAGGUGAGUGGAACUGCGAGUGUAGAGGUGAAAUUCGUAGAUAUUGGGAAGAACACCGGUGGCGAAGGCGGCGACCUGGUCUGAUACUGACGCUGAGGCGCGACAGCGUGGGGAGCAAACAGG
rnacentral:rRNA from 1 species